rnacentral:rRNA from 1 species
UACGUAGGGUGCGAGCGUUGUCCGGAAUUAUUGGGCGUAAAGAGCUCGUAGGUAGUUUGUCGCGUUGUUCGUGAAAACUCACAGCUCAACUGUGGGCGUGCGGGCGAUACGGGCAGACUAGAGUACUGCAGGGGAGACUGGAAUUCCUGGUGUAGCGGUGGAAUGCGCAGAUAUCAGGAGGAACACCGGUGGCGAAGGCAGGUCUCUGGGCUGACACUGACGCUCAUGCACGAAAGCGUGGGGAGCAAACAGG